rnacentral:lncRNA from 1 species
UUCACUGUAGUAAUUUAUUUUAUUUUUUAAUAAUGAAAGUCUUCAUAAAUUUGACAUAUGACUUUUGGCUACUUCACUUAAGAGUGAGUGUGUAUGUUGCAGAUUCAUGUGUGUGGUUUGCAUUUUUUUGAGGUUUUGGUUUGUUCUUAUUUUUCUUAUUUCACAUUUAUGUUUUUAAAGUUAUUCCUUCUUUAUUUUUUUAAUCACAGCAAUCCUCCCCUCAUCCAUGGUUUCAUUUUCUAUGGUUCCAGUUACUCAUGGUCAACCAUGGUCAGAAAACAGGACAAACUGAGAGUAAAAGAUGCAGGAAUAAAACACAGAAAUCAAAAUAAAGGGUUUACUGCUGAAAAAUCCGCUUGAACAAGCCUGUUAAUGUGAUCUUCCUGAAUGAAGCCAGCUUACCCCUAGGCCUCCACUGUCCCUCAGGAAAGAGAACACGAAAACUGGAACUCUCUGCAGAAAGGAGGAUCCCAAAGAAGGGGCCAAGCUGUACAUUUAUCAAUCAGGAAAGCCACUCCACCCUCCAUGGCAGCCCCUACAAUUUGAAACAAGUAUUCUUCCUAACAUAACACAUUAAUUCAUGAGUUUAUCAGUUCAUUUCAUUUUUACUUUGAGAUUUUUGUGAAUAACCAUAGAAAAAUCUAUUUCACCUGGCAAUAAAUAGGAAAAGGCACAGCAUAAUGUUUAAAUACAGAGAAUAUUGUUACAUGUAAGAUGUUGAUUGAAUGUUCUAAAUACAAUUUGAAAACUGCGUGAGAGGAGGAAAACGUAUAUUCAGAAGGACUUAGGUGAAUCCAGAUGAAUAUUUUCAUGACAGGAUGUUGGCUAUUGAUAUGAAGAAAGUAGAGGAAUAGACUUGCUAAAAGUUAGAGGAGUCUAGUUUAUCUUCCAAGAAGCUUUGCAACCCUGUAAUACUGUAGAAAUCACAAAUUUGGCAAUAAUUUUAAGAUAAUUUAUGUUCAUUUUUUAUGGAAUGCCAUGUUUAUCUUUUUAUAUAUGACAUUUUCUGGUCAGUAGUAAUAUAUAUAUCCUUUAUUAAAAUUGGAAAAUAAAUACAAACAUUUUAUUUAUUUAUUGGUUAAAAAAUUAUUAUGCUCAUUCUUUUUUUUUUUAACCAGUAAGGAUCUGGAUAAAGAAAAACAUUUUAGAAAACCACUUGUAGAGUACCAUGAACCAGUCUCUCUUCUCCAUUUUAAAAAAUUUAUUGACUCACUUUUUUUCCAUAACUUUUUGAGAUAUUAUUUCAACCACUUUGCAUUUAGAGAAAAAGAGUCAGAGAGUGAUUAAGAAAUCUGCCCAAUGCUAUACUGAUAGAAGCUGGGAGAACUGGGAUUUGAGCUUACAUAGGCUAGUUCUAGCAUUUGUGAAGUUCUCGCCUAAUAAAAAUUAUCUGUAAUCAUAACCAGAGCAAGUCAUUUCUAACCUCCUGUCUAUAGACACGCGGAUACAUUUGUAAUGUUUUUGUUUGUUUGUUUUUAGCACGACAGAUCAAUUCCUGCUGGCAUUAUAGUUCUUUAACUAUCAUAGCUUCUCUGAUUUUUCAACACAUCUGUCAUCCGUAUUCUGCAGGCAUAGCCAACUCUGUCAGUGUCUCCUCAGGCAAUCAGAAUCAACAGACAGAAUGUAGGACAGAAAACUGGCUGCAAACAUGUUGGAAGGGCUGGAGGAGCGAAAGAGGGAAGAUCUGUUACCUAGAGAUAGUAACUUCCAGAAGUUACCACUAUACUAGUGCAGGAGAAGCAGAAAGGAAGAUGCUGCUACCCAGAGCCCACAGUCAUUGUGCCCCUGAUGCCGCUGGAACCCCACUGCAGCUGCUUUACAGGAAGCAGGGAAUUAGCGCUCUUGCUGAUGCUACAGGUAUCCAGGAUCCAAAAGUCAUCAGCCGCUGUCCCUGUUGCAGCCUAGGGAAACUGUCCCACUGAGGUUGUUGGGGUACCUGCUACUGCAUCUACUGUCUGAACCAUGUUGCCUGAGCAGAUGUCCAGGGCUCAGGCUUGCCUGCUGCUGUUACUGCUGCCACCAUGUUUAUCAGAGCUACUUCAAGAAGAGAAGAAAUCCUCCUCAUUUCCAGUUUUUUCCAGUGCCUCCCAUUGCUUCCCAGAAUGCCAAAUUCUCUUUGAGAGACAGCUGAAAGGAAGGUUUGGAAAAGACUCUGGUGUAAGCAGAUUCUGCUUCCCUGCAAUAGGGGGAAAGCAUAGGGUGGAACUGGAGCUGAGAGCUAAUCACGAAUGAGCAAAUCAGUCUUCAAGACAUUUACCUUUCCUUGAAACGUUUCCCUUCUUUUACCGUGUUUUCCAUGUCAUUAUUUUUCCACAAUUCUGCAUCAUAUUCUGUUAACUAUUAAUGCCCUGGAUAAGUUUAUUUGCUCUUUCUUAGGGUUAAUUUUUCUCCUUUUCUUCGAAGCUUUAGUUUGCAGGUUCAGCUUGUGUGGGAAUUUUCAUCUCCCUCCUCUUCAAGACUCCUUGGAUAUCAGUUUUUUGGUUGCCUUCACCAACUCUCCCCCCACCAUCUCUAGACCAGGGCAUGGUCUUAGUUGGUGGCUUGGACUCCUGUGGCUUGGAGUCUUUGGGGAUAUUAGAGAUCCAGUCACUGAGCUGGCAAAGGGAACACUGUCCUUGCUUCCAGCUUUAUGAAGAACGCUUUGCUCUGUCACCCCACGUGAGUCCAACUCUUGGCUGCCUACACUGCCUGAGGCUUCAGUUCUGGCAUCGUGCUGCAUGUGAUCUAUUAUCCUGCUUUUGAAUAUGCCUAUGACUUUUCUUUAUAUAUUUUUAAAAAUGUUAUUAUUGGUAUGUUUACAGUGAAGGGAAGAAUGUGAAGCAUGAACUCAAGAGUCACAGUAAUGAUAAAUUUUAAUGAUUGUAAUUGUCCUAUCUGUCAUAAUACAUUUAUUUUGUUGAUUUGUUUGGAUUUUCUAGGUAAAUAAUCAUGUUAUUCAAGGAUAAUGAAUGCAGCCACCAUGUAAUCAUCACUGACUCCAUGGCCAUGAGAAAAGAGACCUAAGAAAUGAUGCCCAUCCAGAAGAGUGAAGACUUCCUGAAAAUGUUCUUUUAACCUAAGAUGUAGGUUAAGAGGAGUGAAAAAAUGUUCUGUUUCUGACUGAUGAUGGAGCAACAAAGGUAUGUUUCUUAUUAAUAACACUGAGCAGUUAGGAAGCAGAUGUGCCUCUCCAGGGAAACUCACAAGUGUCCACUGACCUAGUAUCUGCGGAGAACCAUAGCAGUUGUGGUCUCUCUCCCCAGCUUCAAGCAAGGGCAACUUUUCCCUGUGUCUGGUUCUUUUGCUGUCACCUGAAGCCACAGAAAAUGAUCUGAACCUGCUCAGUCCCUGGACAUAUCUGGGGAAUACAAAGUCUCAGAGUCGCUCUCUAAGAAUUGCCAGCAUGUUCUAGAGAUUCUUUAGAUGCAUAGCUGCAUGGAGCAAAACAGGGUCAGGGGAUGUGUGCCGAGGCCAAGGUCUUCUCUUAUGUUUCAAAAAUAUUAACAUUUCAGGCCUGUCUUCUUUUAAAGGAUAGCUCAUGUAUAUGAUUUUUUAAAAAAAAAUCUACCAAAUCAAAUAAAGAAGUCCUGGGAGUUCACCCGGUGUUUUCUACAGAACCAAGGUAUUCAUAUUGAGAUCCUUCAAUAUAAUCAGCUAUGUGACCUUGGUUAAGUUAAUUAAUGCCUCUGAAACUGAGGUUCCUCAUCUGUGAAAUGGAGAUAUUCAACAAAGCACCCUGUGGGGAUUAGAUGAGAUUGCACAUCUGACUGCCUAGAGUAUAGUAAGGGGUCACUGUUUCCUCUUCACUCCUCAGGAAAAUUUGAUUGAACAAGGAUAGAAACUUUGAUUCUAGGGACAGAAGGUCUUCAGAAGUCUUUGAGGCCAGAGGGCCUGUCAUAGAACUGCAGUGUAGGUUCAUUAAAACGCUGUCAUCCUAAUGUUUAUCCACAGUAUCUAAUAGAUUUAAAAGGAAGACAAUAUGGCACAGACUAUUUCGGAAACCUAUGCCCAUUCUGCCAAGAGGAUAUCGCUAUUGGUGGUCAGACUAUUUCACUUAUAAGGUUUCUUUUUUCCUUAAGUCAUAAAGAUUAACAUUUACUAAAAAUUUGAGGGUCCAUUAAUGGACUCCCACAUGGCUUUCCUCUUUCCUUUGAGCUGGAUUCAUUUUCACUGAGUCCCGAGUCCUGCACAUCUGACAAUUGCUUCAGACCUUGGACAUGCUUGAAUUAUUUUAUGCAAAUCAUUUGAAAAGGCAAAGUACCACUGUUCUUUCUUGAGUUUCUUCGUAAACUGGUUUCUAAUUUAUCUGCUGCUUUUUCUCGAUCCAAUUUGUGCCUAUGUCUUACUAUAGAUUCUUUGGAAAUAAAGAAAUAAAGAAUAUAUCUGUAGCUAUUUUGUUAAACUAAGAAUGUUUUAAAAUAUUUUAUUGUAAAA